CAAAUGACAGUCGCCUGUUGUCCAAAAUAUCAUAAAAAAUUGAUCAAAUAAAAAUUAUAAGGCUGCGGAGUUGGGUGGAUUUAAAUCCUCAAUGUGCUUCCGCCGUGCACACUAAACAAAUUAUUAAAUGUAGCUCGCGUACCCCAUAGUACAAAAAAUAUCAACAAUAGCCAAUCACAAGACGCGUAAUUUCUUGGCCACGUUCUAAUUCUGGCCAAUGAUCAGCUCCCGGAGGCGGGGUGAGGGCUUGACGCACUGAGGCGCGUGAUUGACGCAAGCAAUGUUACUAAAUUUAGCAGCGGGCGGCCCGGCGGUGUGAGAUAGCAGAUCCUUCAUUCAUUGCGCCGGGGCGGGUCCGUUUAUUUUAGACAUUUGAUUGUGUUCCAGCCAAUCCAAAUAUAGUCGUAGACAGGUAUUUUUAGCGGAAGCGUGUCCCCGUUACCUCUUAACAGGGAACAACCUUAUGAUAUCCCCAUACUGUAAUGGGAGAAAGUAGAGAACCGGUAACGUUAGCCUCUGGUAAUUUCGCCCGUUGGCUCAGAAUGAAGCUUUUUUAGCAGGCUUCUCCAUUUUAACUGUGUUGUUUAACCCGCUUGGCUCUCUGGAAAAGCAGGAUAGUAUUAAGUUCGGACGUCCCGAGGACACUAAACAGGUUUCGGUUGUUGUGCUUAAUGUUGUUGUAGAUCGAGUGUGGUUUAAAAGCAACCGUAUGAACGAGAGUCAGUUACUUAGCCGACAACAGAUCGCUAAGAAUCUCGAUACAACAAGUAGCAGUAACAGACGGUAGUUACAGACUUCUCAAAAUGGUGAGCACAUGUGCUUUUACUAAACACGCCGGCAGGAAAUGUUGCUUUCAAGCAAGCACCUCAACGUAUCAUGAAUGUGCAACAGAAUAACUGAGGUGGUUACCGUUCCCUGCCGAUAUAUGGACAAGCACAAGCAUCACAGUGAGCUGCUGAUGGAAUUCUUGGUAAGCAGGAGGAAUAAAGAGGGGGUAAUCCUGUCAACAUGGAGUGACGAAAUGGGGGACACAUUGCAUGUUCUGACGUGGAGUCUGGAUAAGGAUUACACAGAGCUGACUUUACACACCUUCUCACUGAUGAGGGAAUUCCAUCCAGGAUUAUGAUGCACAUCAUUUACACAGACACACACACACACCCUACUACACUAUACCACAUGGCAAAAAAAAAUAAAAAUUUCUGGGUCUCAUUCACUAACUAUACUUUUGCAACAAUUUGUUUGUGAAAUCUGCUAACAAAUAUUCAAGAUUCAUCAGUAAACUUCUUACAAAAUUUAUUUUAAAAUGACAAAAAACCUGUGGGAACAAAUCCAUCUAUACGAUGCAGUUAAAAAAAAAAGUACAUCAUGUUAUGCAAAAUAACUAACCUUGUGUAGGUGGUCACUCAUUAAGAAUAAUAAUUCCCACAAUUA